GUGAGGAAUUUUCCGCAAUGGGCGAAAGCCUGACGGAGCAAUGCCGCGUGAAGGAUGAAGGCCUAUGGGUUGUAAACUUCUUUUCUCAGAAAAGAAUUAUGACGGUAUCUGAGGAAUAAGCAUCGGCUAACUCUGUGCCAGCAGCCGCGGUAAGACAGAGGAUGCAAGCGUUAUCCGGAAUGAUUGGGCGUAAAGCGUCUGUAGGUUGUUUAAAAAGUAUUCUGUCAAAGAUUAGGGCUUAACCCUAGAUAGGCAGAAUAAACUUUUAAGCUAGAGUUUGGUAGAGGCAGAGGGAAUUCCCGGUGGGGCGGUGAAAUGCGUAGAUAUCGGGAGGAACACCAAAGGCGAAGGCACUCUGCUGGGCCAAUACUAACACUGAGAGACGAAAGCGAGGGGAGCAAAUGGGAUUAGAUACCCCGGUAGUCC
rnacentral:rRNA from 1 species